rnacentral:tRNA from 1 species
GGUGCACCUCGCCGAAGGCGAGCGCCUCGACGUUGUCGCCGGCGAGGUCGAGGCCGAGUUCGGCCUGAUGUUCGGCGUCGGCGAGGCACUCCCA